UACGAAGGGUGCAAGCGUUAAUCGGAAUUACUGGGCGUAAAGCGCGCGUAGGUGGUUUGUUAAGUUGGAUGUGAAAUCCCCGGGCUCAACCUGGGAACUGCAUUCAAAACUGACAAGCUAGAGUAUGGUAGAGGGUGGUGGAAUUUCCUGUGUAGCGGUGAAAUGCGUAGAUAUCAACAGGAAUACCGGAGGCGAAGGCGAGUAACUGGGCCAACACUGACACUGAGACCCGAAAGCGUGGGGAUCAAACAGGAUUAGAUACCCCAGUAGU
rnacentral:rRNA from 1 species